rnacentral:rRNA from 1 species
CACGUAGGGUGCGAGCGUUGUCCGGAAUUAUUGGGCGUAAAGAGCGUGUAGGCGGUCCGGUAAGUCCGUUGUGAAAGUCAAGGGCUCAACCCUUGAAUGCCGGCGGAUACUGUCGGGCUAGAGUCCGGAAGAGGCAAGUGGAAUUCCCGGUGUAGCGGUGAAAUGCGUAGAUAUCAGGAAGAACACCAACGGCGAAGGCAGCUCGCUGGGACGGUACUGACGCUGAGACGCGAAAGCGUGGGGGAGCGAACAGG